AUGCGGGGCUCGAACCUAUGAGUCGUGAGAUCACGACCUGAGCUGAAGUCGGACGCUUAACCGACUGAGCCAACCAGACCCUAAAAUGCUUUAACUCCAGUGGUCGUUAAAAGAUUCCAGAAGGGAGAGGAAUUUCCUGUGCUUUUCCAGGCCCUUUCAUUAUUGCCCGAAAUGAAGAGCCAUGCUACUUUGUUUUUGCGAAAAGCUGCCAAACAGUAAAGAGGCAGGAUUUAGACGACGAGAGCACGGUCCAGCACGAAAAAUAAACAGCCCGUGACCCAAGCAACGUGGGGACUGGACCAUUGCAUGGGUUACAGUGGAUUUGGGGCUGGUCCAGCCUUGGGUUUCUUUCCUUUGCCCGUGUUUUUCACGGACGUUUUCUUGCUCUACAGGAGGCAGCCUGCACUUGAUGGACAGAAUUCCCGUCCAAAGACGAAAGCACCUUUGAGCAUUAUCUGCAGUAUUCCGCCAUUUGCACACAUACCGCAGCUGAGGAAGCACUGAACAACCAGAAACAGCUGUUCGUAUAUCUUCCUCCUGUCAACUCGCUCACAGUCCCCUCAAGUCACUCGCUCCCAGUCCUUCUCAGAGAGGAGACCAGAGGUCUUCACAGAGGACCCUCGAGGGGACAGAGGGACAGUGUCUGCAAACAAGAAACUGAGGGCUCCUGCUUCCGAGGAGGAUGGAAUGAGAGCCGCCAUUGAAUCUGGAGCUCCAUUAACCAUUGUCUUAUCCAGUGAAGACCAUCCUGAGGGACAGCCAAGAACAUGGCUGGGUGGUGAAGGAGGAGGAGGCACGGUACAGGUAUAGGCAGCAUUCAAGGGGAGGCCUUGUUGCCUGGAGGCCAGAGGUCAGUGGUCAGGACCUGGGCUGGUGUCUUCCUGGUCAUGUGGGGUGUUGCUUUUGGUCCAAGUCCAUUUGUAGUGGACAGAAACUGGAGAGUCUGGACAGCCUCCGGAUCAGGUCUCUGAGUGCUCUCCUGGGUGAUCUGGCAUGGAAUGUGUCUUAGUUUAUUUGGGGGCUUAAGGCGCGUCUGGACGGGCAUCUGGUCAAAUCUCUUGCCGGAUGCCUCGAGGCUGAGCUUAGAGUCCUGGCCCCGUAUACAUGCAGCAGGAUGGGAGUUCAGUGUUGAGGGCAUAUUAUGACACUUGAUUUGUGUCUGUUGGGCUAGGACUGGCUCAGGCUAUGCGGUUUAGAGGCAGCCAGGGGAACGUCACGGGAGCAAACUUGAGGCCUGUUGUGUGUCAGCAUGACGAUGAGGGCAGGAUCCUGGCCAAAGUGCUUGGAUGCUGGCAGAAGGGCAUCAGUGACAGCCACUUCCUGUCUUAUUGUUUUGUCCCUGAAGUGAGGUGAAGCUCAGUUCAGGUUUUUUGAUGGGAGACCCUGUAGGGCGCAUGGGUCUCAUACCAGGUUUCUUUCCCGGCAGCUGACUUGUGAGAAUAGGGCCCAGGGUAGAUGUCUUCUUGGUUGCGUAGACAAGCACAGGCCUGUUUGGAUGCUGUGGGAGAAGACCCCACACGUACACACAAACGUGUAUGUACCUAUGUAUGUGUGUACGUAUGUGUGUACACACACACAGUCGACCCUUGAACAACACAGGUUUGAAUUGCAUGGGACCACUUAUUCGUGGCUUUUUUUCAAUACAGUAAAACGUUGUAAAUGUAUUUUCCUUAUGUUUUCUCAAUAUCAAUUUCUUUUCUCUAGCUUACUUCGUUGUAAAAAUACAGUGUGUAACACACAUGCCCUACAAAUACGUGAUCACUGACCGAUUAGGUUAUCAGGAAGGCUUCCAGGCAACACUAGGCUAUUAGUAGCUCAGUUUUGGGGAAGUCAGAAGUUCUACUCGGAUUUCCAACUGGUGGUCUAUGUGUUCAUUAGCUUGACUGUGGGAAUCCAUCACAGUAUAUAUGUAUGUAUAUCAAAGAAUCAUGUUGUAGAUAGAUUUUAACAUGAUAUGGGGGAACUUGGCCAGGGUGUGCCCUUUCACUGCGCAUUUACGUGGGGAUCCUGGGCUUGUGGCCUGGGGAAGAAGCGGUGCUCCAUGAGAGGGACCCUGCAGGGAAGUGGGCUGGUUAUGGGCAGAAUGUGUCCUGGUCUUGUCCAUGUCUGUAGGCUCUGUAGAGAAUAUCUGGACUGCCUAGUAUCAGUAGUCUGGUUUACUCUCCAUUUCUGUUCCUUAGCACGUUUGCUACCGGUUUAUGAAUAUUAUUAUUAACCAUAACAAC